rnacentral:rRNA from 1 species
UACGGAGGGGGCUAGCGUUGUUCGGAAUUACUGGGCGUAAAGCGCGCGUAGGCGGACCUGCAAGUCGGGGGUGAAAGCCCGAGGCUCAACCUCGGAACUGCCUUCGAUACUGCGGGUCUCGAGUCCGGGAGAGGUGAGUGGAAUUCCUAGUGUAGAGGUGAAAUUCGUAGAUAUUAGGAAGAACACCAGUGGCGAAGGCGGCUCACUGGCUCGUAACUGACGCUCAUGCACGACAGCGUGGGGAUCAAACAGG